rnacentral:rRNA from 1 species
AACGAACGCUGGCGGCAGGCUUAACACAUGCAAGUCGAGCGCCCCGCAAGGGGAGCGGCAGACGGGUGAGUAACGUGUGGGAAUCUACCCAUCUCUACGGAAUAACGCAUGGAAACGUGUGCUAAUACCGUAUACGUCCUUCGGGAGAAAGAUUUAUCGGAGAUGGAUGAGCCCGCGUUGGAUUAGCUAGUUGGUGGGGUAAAGGCCUACCAAGGCGACGAUCCAUAGCUGGUCUGAGAGGAUGAUCAGCCACACUGGGACUGAGACACGGCCCAGACUCCUACGGGAGGCAGCAGUGGGGAAUAUUGGACAAUGGGCGCAAGCCUGAUCCAGCCAUGCCGCGUGAGUGAUGAAGGCCCUAGGGUUGUAAAGCUCUUUCACCGGUGAAGAUAAUAACGGUAACCGGAGAAGAAGCCCCGGCUAACUUCGUGCCAGCCGCCGCAGUAAGAC